GACGAACGCUGGCGGCGUGCUUAACACAUGCAAGUCGAACGGAAAGGCCCUGCUUUUGUGGGGUGCUCGAGUGGCGAACGUGUGAGUAACACGUGAGUAACCUGCCCUUGACUUUGGGAUAACUUCAGGAAACUGGGGCUAAUACCGGAUAGGAGCUCCUGCUGCAUGGUGGGGGUUGGAAAGUUUCGGCGGUUGGGGAUGGACUCGCGGCUUAUCAGCUUGUUGGUGGGGUAGUGGCUUACCAAGGCUUUGACGGGUAGCCGGCCUGAGAGGGUGACCGGCCACAUUGGGACUGAGAUACGGCCCAGACUCCUACGGGAGGCAGCAGUGGGGAAUAUUGAACAAUGGGCGGAAGCCUGAUGCAGCAACGCCGCGUGCGGGAUGACGGCCUUCGGGUUGUAAACCGCUUUCGCCUGUGACGAAGCGUGAGUGACGGUAAUGGGUAAAGAAGCACCGGCUAACUACGUG
rnacentral:rRNA from 1 species